rnacentral:rRNA from 1 species
UACAGAGGGGGCGAAGCGUUGUUCGGAAUUACUGGGCGUAAAGGGCGCGUAGGCGGCCUGCUAAGUCAUACGUGAAAUCCCAUGGCUCAACCAUGGAACUGCGUGUGAUACUGGCGGGCUUGAAUUCGGGAGAGGGAUGCGGAAUUCCAGGUGUAGCGGUGAAAUGCGUAGAUAUCUGGAGGAACACCGGUGGCGAAGGCGGCAUCCUGGACCGAGAUUGACGCUGAGGCGCGAAAGCCAGGGAGCAAACGGG